AGUGAACGCUGGCGGUAGGCCUAACACAUGCAAGUCGAACGGCAGCACAGUAAGAGCUUGCUCUUACGGGUGGCGAGUGGCGGACGGGUGAGGAAUACAUCGGAAUCUACUUUUUCGUGGGGGAUAACGUAGGGAAACUUACGCUAAUACCGCAUACGACCUACGGGUGAAAGCAGGGGAUCUUCGGACCUUGCGCGAUUGAAUGAGCCGAUGUCGGAUUAGCUAGUUGGCGGGGUAAAGGCCCACCAAGGCGACGAUCCGUAGCUGGUCUGAGAGGAUGAUCAGCCACACUGGAACUGAGACACGGUCCAGACUCCUACGGGAGGCAGCAGUGGGGAAUAUUGGACAAUGGGCGCAAGCCUGAUCCAGCCAUACCGCGUGGGUGAAGAAGGCCUUCGGGUUGUAAAGCCCUCUUGUUGGGAAAGAAGAGCAGCAGGUUAAUACCCCGCUGUUCUGACGGUACCCAAAGAAUAAGCACCGGCUAACUUCGUG
rnacentral:rRNA from 1 species